rnacentral:rRNA from 1 species
AUGCGCCCCUUCAAAACCUGUGUUAGAUGUACCCACGUGGCCAUUGAGGUCUCCUCCUAUGAAGAGCUUCUCACCAAUCGGUACACUCCUAACCAUGUCUUCCAAGCCUUCCCAGAACUCCCUCUUGGUGUUCUCAUUGUGGCCUACUUGCGGGGCAUAUGCGCUGAUAACAUUGAGAACCAAGUCCUCAGCUACCAGUUUGACCAGGAUAAUCCGGUCCCCACGUCUCCUGACGUCUACCACUUCAUACUUGAGGCUCUUGUUGAUCAAGAUGCCUACGCCAUUUCUGUUUGCAGCCGUCCCCGUGUACCACAGCUUGAAGCCGAUAUCCUCCACCUCCUUCGCCUUCUAUCCUCUUCAUUUGGUUUCUUGGACGCAAAGGAUAUCAACACCUCUCCUCACUGCUGCAUCAACUAG